UGUUUUAAAAAUGUACCUAUUGCUUUCAUGCUUUGAUUGGUGUUUUUGUGAAGGCAGAAGAAGGUAAAUCAUGGAGAAAAAGGAACACCAGUGGUUGAAGUAAGGAGAAAAAGAAACAACAGCAUAAACUGAGAAUGAUUUCAAGCAUUCAAAAUUCAAAUAUCUCAUUGAGAAUGUUGAUCUGAUAAAUUGCUGAAUGAAAACCAUCGAAAAAGAAGAAAGAAUUCCACCUUUAUUAAUAUAUUAGGGGUUUACAUUGCAUAUGAUGCAAGUCGCUUUUCUGGGAGCUAAUGGCUAUGGCUAUAGCUUCAAGAAUGCUUACAAUUAAAUAUGUUAAAGAAGUCAAAGAUGAAAAGAAGAAAUGAGCAUAAUCAAAGGCCAUACAUCAUGAAAAAGAUGCGUACUUUGACCAAGGAUUGCAGUUAGGUGGAUUUUUUUCCCCUCUGAAACGAUAAAUUCACCCAUUAUAUCCAUCUAAUAGCUUAAUGUUAGAAAUUACCAGACGUACC